rnacentral:rRNA from 1 species
ACACAUGCAAGUCGAGGGGCAGCAUGAACUUAGCUUGCUAAGUUUGAUGGCGACCGGCGCACGGGUGAGUAACACGUAUCCAACCUGCCGAUGACUCGGGGAUAGCCUUUCGAAAGAAAGAUUAAUACCCGAUGGCAUAGUUCUUCCGCAUGGUAGAACUAUUAAAGAAUUUCGGUCAUCGAUGGGGAUGCGUUCCAUUAGGUUGUUGGCGGGGUAACGGCCCACCAAGCCUUCGAUGGAUAGGGGUUCUGAGAGGAAGGUCCCCCACAUUGGAACUGAGACACGGUCCAAACUCCUACGGGAGGCAGCAGUGAGGAAUAUUGGUCAAUGGACGAGAGUCUGAACCAGCCAAGUAGCGUGAAGGAUGACUGCCCUAUGGGUUGUAAACUUCUUUUAUACGGGAAUAAAGUGAGGCACGCGUGCCUUUUUGUAUGUACCGUAUGAAUAAGGAUCGGCUAACUCCGUGCCAGCAGCCGCGGUAAUACGGAGGAUCCGAGCGUUAUCCGGAUUUAUUGGGUUUAAAGGGAGCGUAGGCGGACGCUUAAGUCAGUUGUGAAAGUUUGCGGCUCAACCGUAAAAUUGCAGUUGAUACUGGGUGUCUUGAGUACAGUAGAGGCAGGCGGAAUUCGUGGUGUAGCGGUGAAAUGCUUAGAUAUCACGAAGAACUCCGAUUGCGAAGGCAGCCUGCUGGACUGUAACUGACGCUGAUGCUCGAAAGUGUGGGUAUCAAACAGGAUUAGAUACCCUGGUAGUCCACACAGUAAACGAUGAAUACUCGCUGUUUGCGAUAUACAGUAAGCGGCCAAGCGAAA